rnacentral:rRNA from 1 species
UACAGAGGGGGCAAGCGUUGUUCGGAAUUACUGGGCGUAAAGGGCGCGUAGGCGGCCUUCUAAGUCGAACGUGAAAUCCCCGGGCUCAACCCGGGAACUGCGUCCGAUACUGGAAGGCUUGAAUCCGGGAGAGGGAUGCGGAAUUCCAGGUGUAGCGGUGAAAUGCGUAGAUAUCUGGAGGAACACCGGUGGCGAAGGCGGCAUCCUGGACCGGUAUUGACGCUGAGGCGCGGAAAGCUAGGGGAGCAAACGGGG